rnacentral:rRNA from 1 species
ANCCACCUUAGGCGGCUNGCUCCUAAAAGGUUACCUCACCGACUUCGGGUGUUACAAACUCUCGUGGUGUGACGGGCGGUGUGUACAAGGCCCGGGAACGUAUUCACCGCGGCGUNNUGAUCCGCGAUUACUAGCGAUUCCGACUUCAUGUAGGCGAGUUGCAGCCUACAAUCCGAACUGAGAUCGGCUUUAAGAGAUUGGCUUACUGUCACCAGUUCGCUGCUCGUUGUACCGACCAUUGUAGCACGUGUGUAGCCCAGGUCAUAAGGGGCAUGAUGAUUUGACGUCAUCCCCACCUUCCUCCGGUUUAUUACCGGCAGUCUCGCUAGAGUGCCCAACUGAAUGAUGGCAACUAACAAUAGGGGUUGCGCUCGUUGCGGGACUUAACCCAACAUCUCACGACACGAGCUGACGACAACCAUGCACCACCUGUCACCGAUGUACCGAAGUAAAAUCCUAUCUCUAGGACGGGCAUCGGGAUGUCAAGACCUGGUAAGGUUCUUCGCGUUGCUUCGAAUUAAACCACAUGCUCCACCGCUUGUGCGGGCCCCCGUCAAUUCCUUUGAGUUUCAACCUUGCGGUCGUACUCCCCAGGCGGAGUGCUUAAUGCGUUAGCUGCGGCACUGAGUCCCGGAAAGGACCCAACACCUAGCACUCAUCGUUUACGGCGUGGACUACCAGGGUAUCUAAUCCUGUUCGCUACCCACGCUUUCGAGCCUCAGUGUCAGUUACAGACCAGAGAGCCGCUUUCGCCACCGGUGUUCCUCCAUAUAUCUACGCAUUUCACCGCUACACAUGGAAUUCCACUCUCCCCUUCUGCACUCAAGUUUAACAGUUUCCAAAGCGUACAUUGGUUGAGCCAAUGCCUUUAACUUCAGACUUAUUAAACCACCUGCGCUCGCUUUACGCCCAAUAAAUCCGGACAACGCUCGGGACCUACGUAUUACCGCGGCUGCUGGCACGUAGUUAGCCGUCCCUUUCUGAUAAGCUACCGUCACAGAGUAAACUUUCCACU